rnacentral:misc_RNA from 1 species
CGGCGGUGCCCGGGCUUCCG